CCGACCUGGGGGCACUACUCCGUGCGCAGGGGCAGUGGGUCCGGGCAGCCUUCCUGGGGCGCGCCGCUCCGUGCGCAGGCGCAGUGAGCCCAGGCGGGCAGCUCGGGCCAGCAGCUCUCGGUCCUGUGGCUGGAGGCUGAAGUCCACGAAGGACCCGGUGGGGAGGGUGGCACGUUGUCCCAAGUAUCCUAAAGGGAGAGGUGUGUACAUCCACAUUUGAAAGAAGCAUUUUAGAACUUGAGCUCCAUGACAACAGGGACCUUACCUGUAUUGCUCAUUCUGUGUCUGGCUGGAAAAAAGCUCUCACUGUAUCCCAAAAGAACGGUGAUAAUUCUAGAUUCUGGCUGUAAUGAAAUCAACAACCCCAUCGAUUUACAAGGUACCAAGAUUCUCAUUCCAAUGAAGAAUAUUCUGGAAAAGAAACUUUUCACCUUUUCAAACCAUGAACAAUAUGUGACGUUUCGAGUGGGGCUCACGGAGUAGGAAGCUUUCCUUGAUGCUAUUGAUGUGAGCACAAUGGUUUUGUGAAAAACUGGAAAUGGCGGCCUUGAGAAUCUCUGGUGAUUUCAUUUAGCUGUGCAGUGGGCUUCUACUUUCUCUAUGCCUGGUUCGGAAUAUUAGAAGAGAUGGCAAUGAUUCUGGAGUGGAUUACACCAUUUGACUGAGGAACCACUGGAAUUUUCUUCUUCUCUAAGCUACACAGAAACAUGACCACUUCCAAUGAACAGGCUUCACCAAGAACUCUCCAAACGUGUGGGGUUUCUUUAGUUUGUCAAUGAAACAAGCAACUUUGUAGGAUGCUUCUGAAAUGCUGCUGCUGUGAUAGGGCUAACCACGUUUUGAUAAAGUUUAUUCUCUUCUGAGAAUAAACCCAAGGGGCUUUCCUAGCCUUGCUGGCUCCAUGCUUCUGGCAUUGAGAAGCUUCUCACCAAGCAUCAACAGGCCUAUUUUGCCAGAGAAAGCCAGAGAACACCUCAGCUUCCUUGUAUUCUAUUUGCCCUGACAUUACUCAACUUCAGCAAGACCCAAAGUUAACAAAGACCCCUGGCAUGGGCCUAAUGGCAGGAUAUGUUCUGUGAUUUCUGUUAGUGGAAAAUGAAUGUAACACAGAGAUCAUGUGGGCUGUGAGGCCCCAUGUAGCCUCCAGCACCCUUUCUUCCUGGAGCAUAAAUCUGGAGGGAAAUGGUGCCAUAUUAGGUUUGUUUUACAAAGAUUAUUUUCAAAGAGGAAGACGAUCAAAGCAAACAGAAAAGAACCCCCAGUGUGCAGGCCACAGGUGUGUGGGGGUUAAAACUGGAUGGGAAGGAGAGGGGGAAGUCUCGAACUCAAGGGGGCAAAACCGUGGGGGCUUCAUUUGCCCCAGGAACUAUAAAAGGCCAAUGGACUGUUUUAGGAAGAAAGUAGUUCAGCACAGGUAGGAGCAGAGAAAGGGCUCUCACAGCAAACUUUGCCAGCUUUCCAAUUUUUCCGUACAUCAGGCCCCUUUUUGUUCUUUGCUUAGAACCAUCAAGCUUCCCGUUAAGGCAUCCAGCGCGGCCCUUUCCAUAUAUGUGGUGGUUUUCUGUUUUGUUUUAAUAAAGAAAAAUGCUUAUAAGCAUUGUACACAUUGUACACUGGAAAUCUGCCAAGUGAGUAGGUUUUAGGUGCUCUUACCACACAUACCCCCCACCACACACACACACACACACAUACACAAGAACAAGGUCACGUUAAUGGUGGAUGUAAUAUGUUAACGGUGUGUUAAUUUGCUUGUCUGUGGUAAUCACUCCAUAUAUGUAUGUCAAAACAUCUUGUUGCCUAUCUUAAAUACAGACAAUAAAAAAAGAAAAUAUUGGCUGGGUGUGAUGGCUCUUGCCUGUAAUCCCAGCAUUUUGGGAGGCCAAGGAGGGAGGAUCACAGGCCAGGAGUUCGAGACCAGACUGGGUAACAUAGCAAGACCCCAUCUCUACAAGAACAUUUUAAAAAGAAAAUCUUUAAAAAGUUAAAGAGAAAUAUUGAAGAACAGUGAAAACAUGUGUUAUAGAAAUUAUUUUAGUUCUAUUUAAAAACUUUUGUUUGUAAAUAAAAAUAUUUGAUGUUUACAUUC